GAAAUAUGGAACAUUUGUGUAUAUGAAAGGGUAUACCUGUGAUAUAUCCAAACUAUAUCCGCAUUAUCUACAUUAUCCCGCAACGUUUCACAAAUAUCUGAGAAGACUAGUGGUAAAUACUAUUUAAUACUACAUCUGUUAAAAUUAAACAGAUUUUUUAAUCAGCUUAUUUGAAAUGUGCUUCAAAACAACUUGUGGGAAAUGUGGCAAAGUUACCUGGCAAGGUAAGAUUUGAAAGACCUUGAAAUGAUUUGCGAAUUUUGUUACAAAAAUAGCAUAUUUAAGAAUGAAAUUAAUUAAGGAACAGGACAUAUAUUUAGCUGUUGUCACUUGUCAGUAAAAGUUCGUUUCAAAUUUUGUUGUAGGAUGUGGUAAACAUGCAGAACAAGUAAUGAAAGAUGUGCCUGCAGCAGAAAGAUGUGUUUGCCCUCGAGAUUAGUGACUUACUGACUUGACAAACUUUUACUCAAUACUCUAGUUAAGUUCGUAGGUUUAAUAUAAUGACUAAACGUGCACGAACACACGCCGAAAAUUGAAAUUAAAAGUAGCUUGCUUUUAUUUACAAAAUCAUGGGCAAUUCAAAAAAUUAUCUGUAACCAUUGAAACGUAGUUAAAUUAUUUGUGUGAACCCUAAGAUACAUAUCUUGAAC